CAAGAGCGUAUGUAAAAGUUGUUGCAGUUAAAAAGCUCGUAGUUGAACCUUGGGUUUGGUUGGCCGGUCCGCUUUUUUGCGAGUACUGGAUUCAACCGAGCCUUUCCUUCUGGCUAACCAGUCGUUUCGGCGGCUGGCGAACCAGGAUUUUUACUUUGAGAAAAUUAGAGUGUUCAAAGCAGGCAUUAGCUUGAAUAUAUUAGCAUGGAAUAGUAGAAUAGGACGUUAUGGUUCUAUUUUGUUGGUUUCUAGGACCAUCGUAAUGAUUAAUAGGGACGGUCGGGGGCAUCAGUAUUCAGUUGUCAGAGGUGAAAUUCUUGGACUUACUGAAGACUAACUACUGCGAAAGCAUUUGCCAAGGACGUUUUCAUUAA
rnacentral:rRNA from 1 species